rnacentral:lncRNA from 1 species
AUGGCUCCAAGUAUAACCCCUACUGAGAGAUACUUGCAUAUAGAGCAAGUAGGUGAUCACAGAUCCAGGAAGAGGUCCCUGUUCUGCCUGAUCCAGACCAAGCUCUUGAGCCUGGGUUACCUAAGUCUCAGUCUUUUGAGUUCACCAUGUACCAGGUCAAUGAAGCCUGCACAUUUAUUAUUAUUAUUUUAUCCACACAUUCUCACAGAGGAAAAAUAAAAAGAUAGGGGGCAUGAAACAACAAUAAGUUUACUACUUUGUUUAUCUCUAUUAUACAGUUCAAUUAGGAUACUUUUUUGUUUUACGGAAUUAAAAGGUUUAUAUAUAUACAUAUAUAUAUAUAUAUAUAUAAAAACAUACUUAAUGCAUAAGGAAAUAACUUAUUUGAUUGAACUACCUUGAAAUACGAUAGAUGACAAUUAGAUGUAUUCUAGCCUACAGGAUGAUGUGUUUUAUUCAUUCCCUACCAAACAAACUCAAGAGUUGAAAAGAUAUGAAAGAAUACAUUUCGC